CGCUAUCUUACAUGCGCUGGGAGCUGCGCAUCGGCUUCUUUCAACACGCAGUAUACCCAAGUGAUUGCGUUAAAAUAUGAAUGAUGUUUUCAGACGCCGCCUUCGGUACGUGUCAGUUGUUUAAUGAUACAGGUUAGCUGCAUACUUGCCUUGCAGGUCACAGAUUUGUUGUUUUGCUUCACUCUCGUUCAUGAUCGCAGUACACCGACGAUGAUGUGGCACUGGACCCUGAUCACCUUUCCAAGCUGCGUGCUGUCAUCAGCGCUAGGUCUCAUAUACGUCUACGUCUUCAUGUUCAAGCAGUACGAGUACGUGCUGGAUCCCGCGCUGCAGCCCCGAAUGCUUCGGUUCACGGCCCGGCACCUCAGGAAAACACCACACACCAGGUUCAAGGAACUCCUCUACAUGGUUUUCCUCACGUGCUACGGCUGUUUUUACCUUCUGGCUCGCGUGGCAGGCACUGAUCACGAG